rnacentral:rRNA from 1 species
GGGUGCAAGCGUUACUCGGAAUUACUGGGCGUAAAGCGUGCGUAGGUGGUUCGUUAAGUCUGUCGUGAAAGCCCCGGGCUCAACCUGGGAAUGGCGAUGGAUACUGGCGGGCUAGAGUGCGGUAGAGGAGAGUGGAAUUCCCGGUGUAGCAGUGAAAUGCGUAGAGAUCGGGAGGAACAUCAGUUGCGAAGGCGGCUCUCUGGACCAGCACUGACACUGAGGCACGAAAGCGUGGGGAGCAAACAGGAUUAGAUACCCUGGUAGUCCACGCCCUAAACGAUGCGAACUGGACGUUGGGAGCAACUAGGCUCUCAGUGUCGAAGCUAACGCGUUAAGUUCGCCGCCUGGGGAGUACGGUCGCAAGACUG